CAGUCGCCCGGGAAUACGAAGGGGGCUAGCGUUGCUCGGAAUCACUGGGCGUAAAGGGUGCGUAGGCGGGUCUUUAAGUCAGGGGUGAAAUCCUGGAGCUCAACUCCAGAACUGCCUUUGAUACUGAAGAUCUUGAGUUCGGGAGAGGUGAGUGGAACUGCGAGUGUAGAGGUGAAAUUCGUAGAUAUUCGCAAGAACACCAGUGGCGAAGGCGGCUCACUGGCCCGAUACUGACGCUGAGGCACGAAAGCGUGGGGAGCAAACAGGAUUAGAUACCCGCGUAGUCCCUGUCUCUUAUACA
rnacentral:rRNA from 1 species